rnacentral:rRNA from 1 species
GACGAACGCUGGCGGCGUGCCUAAUACAUGCAAGUCGAGCGGAACUGGGGGAGCUUGCUCCUUCCAGUUUAGCGGCGGACGGGUGAGUAACACGUGGGCAACCUGCCCUGCAGAUCGGGAUAACUCCGGGAAACCGGUGCUAAUACCGAAUAGUUUGGCGCCUCUCCUGAGGCGCUACGGAAAGACGGUUUCGGCUGUCACUGCAGGAUGGGCCCGCGGCGCAUUAGCUAGUUGGUGGGGUAACGGCCCACCAAGGCGACGAUGCGUAGCCGACCUGAGAGGGUGACCGGCCACACUGGGACUGAGACACGGCCCAGACUCCUACGGGAGGCAGCAGUAGGGUAUCUUCCGCAAUGAACGCAAGUCUGACGGAGCAACGCCGCGUGAGUGACGAAGGUUCUCGGAUCGUAAAACUCUGUUGUGAGGGAAGAACACGUACCAACUAACUAUUGGUACCUUGACGGUACCUCGCCAGAAAGCCACGGCUAACUACGUGCCAGCCGCCGCAGUAA